GUCUCUGUAGUUCAACGGAUAGAAUGAGGGCCUCCGAAGCCUUCGAUGGCAGUUCAAUUCUGCCCAGGGAUA
rnacentral:tRNA from 1 species